UGGCUCAAUGGUAGAGCACUUGCCUAGUAUGCAUGAGGCACUGGGUUCAAUCCCUG
rnacentral:tRNA from 1 species